rnacentral:pre_miRNA from 1 species
AAAAUACUCCCUCCGUUCGGAAUUACUUGUCUCGGAAAUGAAUGUAUCUAGAAAUAAAAUACAUCUAGAUACAUCCAUUUCUACGACAAGUAAUUCCGAACGGAGGGAGUACAUG